UUUAUAAAGAUGUAUAAUUGAUUUUCUAAGAGAAAAGAUCAAAUGUAAAAUUAGAAAGUAUUUUGAGCUUUCUGAAAAUAAAUUUGAGAGAAUAAAGUGAAAUAUUAAUGAAAUAACCAUAAACAAUAGCUAACAUGUUUUCUGUGUUUACUAUAUGUCUAGCGUUUUUCACACACUUUCUCCUUUAAUUCUUCCAGCAGCCCAAUGCUAGAAAAUUUCCAGGUCAAUUGGCUCAGAGUCAUAAAGCUACUUUAUUGCAGGUUUGAGGAACUCCUCAUAGGUAAGGAACACAAAGAUCAUCAGGCCCAUAUAUGGUUUUCUACUGAGUCCUAAUCUCCAGGAACCUCCUCUGCCAUUGGUCCUGUUAGAGCCCUUGGGUACCCUGAAAUGCCUCCAGCACUGCCCAUGAGAGCAGAAGCCGAGCUGGAGCAAUGCUUGGCUUCUCAAUGCUCUACAAGUAAGAAACCCCCACUUUUAUAAGUUUUCUGUAUUUGUAGGUGUUUUGGCUUUGUUUUGCUUGUUUUUGUUGCAAGAAUGAUUCCUCUGUCAAGCAAGUUUGAAA
rnacentral:lncRNA from 1 species